rnacentral:lncRNA from 1 species
CCCUUCAAAGAAAAUUCCUUCUAAUCUUAUCUACCUUUCGAAUUACUCCAACGGAAGCACUAAAACUAGACAUGUAAUAAACGGAGAGACAUGGGACAACGGAAUUAAUCAAAGUAACUCGCCCCUAAAACAAAGAAUAUUUCUUUUUCACAUCGCUAAUUUCUUCUAAAUUUUUUCCAGCAUAGGAUCCUAUAUCACCACUCUAUUUGGAUUGACACCAAUAGGAAUACCCAUGUACCUAUAAGGAAAAUUACCCCUAGUACACCCAAUCAAAUGUCCUCAAUUAAACGAUCAUCUCCACUACAGGAAACCAGAGAAAGCUUCCUACAAUUCAACUUCAAACCAGACAUUAACUCAAAACAUUUCAUAAUCUUUCUAACAUUUUUAAUAGCCUCAACAUCAGCCUUCAGAAAAAGAAUGGUGUCAUCUAUAAACUGCAAAUGAGAAAUGGUGAAAGCAUUAGAAGAAAAGGCAUACGUUUAAUUAAAUUGUUGUUUUCCAUUUCCACUAACAGUAAAUGCAAAGCUUCUUUACAAGAAAAAACAAAAGGGGGAUAAUGAAUCUCCUCGACGUAAUUCCCUUUCCAUAUGAAACUGAUUGUAAGAGAACCAUUAACUAGCACUGCUACCCACAAUGUUGAAACACACUAUUGAGUCCAUUUUUCUAAAUCCUCCCAAAAUCGAUCAUCUCCAUUAGCCGAUCUAGGAACAUCCACGAUACACUAUCAUAUGCUUUCUCAAAAUCCAGUUUUGAUAUAAUUCCUUCCAUCCCACACUUUUUCCUAUUUUAAGAAAUGAAUCACCUUAUUUUCCAAGAGUACACCAUCCAUAAUUUACCCGCUCGCCACAACAGCAUAGCGCUUAUCUUUAAUCAACUUACCAAUCACCCCUCUUAAUAUUCUUGACAAGAUCUUCACGAAAAUCUUAUAGGAGUUAAUAAGAGAGACGAGCUAGUAAUUAUUCAUUAACACUGGAUUGUCGAGUUUAGGAACUAAA